rnacentral:rRNA from 1 species
CAAUAAGCGGAGGAAAAGAAACCAACAGGGAUUGCCCUAGUAACGGCGAGUGAAGCGGCAACAGCUCAAAUUUGAAAUCUGGCUACUUUGUAGUCCGAGUUGUAAUUUGUAGAGGAUGCUUUUGGUGAGGUGCUUUCUGAGUUCCCUGGAACGGGACGCCAGAGAGGGUGAGAGCCCCGUACAGUUAGCAACCGAUCCUUUGUAUAGCUCCUUCGACGAGUCGAGUAGUUUGGGAAUGCUGCUCUAAAUGGGAGGUAUAUCUCUUCUAAAGCUAAAUAUAGGCUAGAGACCGAUAGCGCACAAGUAGAGUGAUCGAAAGAUGAAAAGCACUUUGAAAAGAGAGUUAAACAGCACGUGAAAUUGUUGAAAGGGAAGCGCCUAUGACCAGACUUGUUUCUAUCAGUUUUGGUAGUUUUCGGACUGCUUUACUCUGUUAGUACAGGCCAACAUCAGUUUGUUGUCGGGGAGAAAGGCUUAGGGAAUGUGGCUCCCUCGGGAGUGUUAUAGAUCUUUGCAUAAUACCCUUCGGCAGACUGAGGACCGCGCUUCGGCAAGGAUGUUGGC